AAAGGUAGAGCUCAGUAGUAGAGUGCGUGUCUAGCAGGCAUGAGGUCCUGGGUUCAAUCCCCAGUACCUCCA
rnacentral:tRNA from 1 species